GCUCUCGCAGAGCCUCACGUGCUAAGCAACGGGUACAGUCCGUAACUAUUCCUGGAAGCAAAAAGCCCUCUCCACGACGAUCUUGACUCCAAAGCCCUCGCCACCACCAAUCCCAACGACGAUCGCAUCAACGAGCGGACAAAGCAAACAUCAGUCAGAUCACUCUGAGAUCAAGAGGAGAGUAUAGCGGACCAUCACAGGGGGCGAAAGAGAACGAAAUUUCUAUGUGCCCUUUUGUCUAUCUUUUUUAGGAAACUUUUUUUACUUGACCUAGUAGUUUGAUAAACAGACUGUAGUAAAUUUUAAAAUCUUUGGAUAAUAUUCAGGAUUUUAUUAUUUUCA